UGGGGAAUAUUGCACAAUGGGCGCAAGCCUGAUGCAGCCAUGCCGCGUGUAUGAAGAAGGCCUUCGGGUUGUAAAGUACUUUCAGCGGGGAGGAAGGUGUUGAGGUUAAUAACCUCAGCAAUUGACGUUACCCGCAGAAGAAGCACCGGCUAACUCCGUACCAGCAGCCGCGGUAAUACGGAGGGUGCAAGCGUUAAUCGGAAUUACUGGGCGUAAAGCGCACGCAGGCGGUCUGUCAAGUCGGAUGUGAAAUCCCCGGGCUCAACCUGGGAACUGCAUUCGAAACUGGCAGGCUAGAGUCUUGUAGAGGGGGGUAGAAUUCCAGGUGUAGCGGUGAAAUGCGUAGAGAUCUGGAGGAAUACCGGUGGCGAAGGCGGCCCCCUGGACAAAGACUGACGCUCAGGUGCGAAAGCGUGGGGAGCAAACA
rnacentral:rRNA from 1 species